GGUAAAGUGACUGUACAUAGAUAAUAAACAGUAGUACAGGUUAGUUGAGGUAGAUAUGUACAUGUAGGUGGGGGUAAAGUGACUGUACAUAGAUAAUAAACAGUAGUACAGGUUAGUUGAGGUAGAUAUGUACAUGUAGGUGGGGGUAAAGUGACUGUACAUAGAUAAUAAACAGUAGUACAGGUUAGUUGAGGUAGAUAUGUACAUGUAGGUGGGGGUAAAGUGACUGUACAUAGAUAAUAAACAGUAGUACAGGUUAGUUGAGGUAGAUAUG